AAAAAAAAAAAAAAAAUGCAGUUGCUAAAAGACAAAAAACUCAAUGGAAAGGUUAAAGGUUAAAUAAUAGACUAGACAUAAUUGGAGAAGUAAAUGUAUGACAGAUCCAAGGAAAUCACCAAUGAGAUUUAAAAAAUAAAAAAAUAUGAAAAAAUUGGUUAAGAAACAUAGAGAUAUAAGGAAGAUCCAACCCACAUCUAAUAGAAUCUCCAAGGGAAUGGAAAAUGAGAGGGAGACAAUAUUUAAAGAGAUAACAGCUGGUAAUUUUCUAGAGUUGAAGAGAGAUAUAAAUCCUCUAAUGAACAACAACAGAGCUAUAUCCAGUCUUCUCAUGACAAAACUGAAGAACAUUAAAGACAGAGAAAAUCUUUAGAACUCAUCAUGGUUAUCUGGCUUGUGGACCGUUAAACCUGGUGUUUUCCCUGUCUCCUGCACGGUACGGUACACACCAAAGAAGAAAAUCACGUUAUUUAAACAUGAUGAAGUUUUGCCUUUUGUUUUGUACUCUUCUACCCAAGGGAACUUACAAAUCAAUAAACCUUAAAGGGACAGAAUAAUGGCUGUAUGUUACCUAACACGCAAUAAUUAGUAAUAACUAUAUUAUCCUUCAAAUGAAUAAGACGUGGGUGAUCAAUAUGGCUUACAUUAUUUUCCUAACAGUGGUACCAGAUUUGGACUAAGUUAUGGAGAUACCCAGACAUUGUUAUCAAAUCCUCUUAACACUGAACACAUUUUCAGGAUGACAGUCAAAGAGGAAGAGGAUAGCAUGUGGCAAGGAAGAGCUACCUGCCUAGGCAAAAAUAAACUUAGCACCACAGCUUCAUCAUGGAAUUAGCCUGCUAUAGAAGAAGGACUUGAUUUAACUCACACAGAAUCUGAAAGAACUCCCUUAACUGGAUUUUCACCUAUCUUUUAUGUUUGUCAUUAAUUGAAGCAAAUUAUAGGAUAGCUAAGGUUAUGAAUUAACGGUUUUAGGGAAGAAAUAGAAGGGAAGGCAUAUGGCCUUUGAAUCCUGAGAAAUCUAUAUCACCCCUUAUUAUUUUUUUAUUGCUUCUUAACUAACAGUUACAAUUACCACCAUGUGUAAAAUAAGAUCAGUUUCAGGAUGACUUCAAGGCCCAAGUUUAUAACAUUGGCAGGCUACAGGAGGUGGGAUGAGUCCUGCCAAAGCUAACAGCUAAUUUGGGGAAGUCUACUCGGACAACUUUGGUAAAAUCAGCUAAACUCUCCUUAGUCUUUGUUUGCAGAAGUAGCAGCAGCUAGCUAACACCUUCUGAUUGCUCACCAUGUGCCCUUGACUGAGUUAAAUGUGUUAUAUGCAGACAACUGCGGUUGAAACAAGCUGCUACUCAUUAGCAGGAUGACUUAACCAUAAAAAUCUUCAAUUUUCUCUGGAAAAUGGGGAUAAUAAGCUCAUAUAAUCUCCUAGGGUUGCUGGGAGAAUUAAAUCAGAAGCUAUGAUAAUAAGGCAAACAGAUGCUUCUGGAGUGUAGCAGAUUGUAUUUCUGAAAAUGGCCACAAGAAUGUGCUCUCCUAGAACCUUGCCCAUGCCCCCAUCAAGAGGUGGAUGGUUCUUUGUGACAGCCACACUGAAUAGGAUGUGGUGGAGGUGGUACUGUGUGACUGGCUAAUAAAAGGUAAUAUGGCCUCUGUCUCUCUCUCGUUCUGUACUAUAAGAGUUCUGAACCAUCCUGUGACAAGUCUAGUUACCCUAAAGCUGUCAUGCAGGAGAGACCAUGUGGAGAGAAGGAGAGUUAGAGAGAGGAGGAGCCCCUGCUGUUUGAGUAUUCUCAGCCCAGACACCAGACAUGAGUGAGGAAGCAUUCAGACCCCAACUCCAGUUUAAAAACGCCACCACUCAACAGCCUGUUUUCUGAGCCUAUGACCACAUAUAUGCUGCAGAACCCUUUCAGGGUGUAUCUGAAACUACUUCUCUUAAAGGCAAGCUGUAACUGGUGCCAGUGAGUACUACUAUCUUUUAUUUAAAUUAAAAACAAAUUUAACAUCACUUAGUCUUUAUAAGAAUGAGAAAGUCCAGAUAAGUAUAAAGAAGAAAAUUUAAAAAUCUAAAUGGUCGGGGUGUUUGGGGGAGCAGAAGAGGAAGAUAGAAGAUUGUAUCUCUCUAUCUUCUUGUCUUGGCUUCUGAACCCGAGAUGUUUUUUAUUAUUGCAGGAAAAGACAGAAGCUGAUUGAGGUCCCAGCUUGGUAACAGUUUGAAGAGUUGCAGGACUGGCUGGAUGAGUACUGGCUGCAGCAAAUCAGGCUGCCAGGAUUCUUUAUGGCUGUUUCUGCUUCCACUACAGCUGAGUCAGAAAGGUCGCUGCCCCGUGGUGGCACUAGACGCAGUGGACCUGGCAAGCAAAUGUUUCCGCUAUUAGCUCUCAGCAACAGAGACUCAUUUAUGGUCACCUUGGAAAUCUGGGCUUAUCGAUCUACAGCCCAAGUCUGCUGAGAAGCUGGAGCUUACUAAAGGGGAAACCUGAGAGCUGUUCAAGCCCCAAAUAUUUUCCACUUCUGCGUCACCUCUGCUGUCUGUUAGCAGAGUGGAGGAGAAAAUACACAGCACAAACAACGUGAAAAAAUAGUUACUCUAUUCAUUAAAAGCUGUAACUUCCAGAUUGGACUUGAGAAGCAAUUAAGCAACAGAGGAACCUCAUCUACUAUCUGUAUUCAGGCAUGCUCAUGAGAACACGCUGCUCCAGCUGGACUUAGAGGAACCCGGUGCAUCACAGGCAUUCCUGACAGAGUCUCGUGGUCCUGCUGGUCCACUCAGUGGUACUCAGUCCUCCUCAUUCUCGGGGAUAGGUUCCAAGACCCCCAGGGGAUGCCUGAAACUGCGGAUGGUACCGAACCCUACAUAUAUUAUGUUUUUUUCCUAUACAUACAUACCUAUGAUAAAGCUUAAUUUACAAAUUAGAUAGAGUAAGAGAUUAACAACAAUUACAGCAAUAUACUGAAAUAAAAGUUAUGUGAAUGUGGUCUCUCUCUCUCUCUCUGAAUAUCAUAUUGUAAGUAAUACUUUCAAACCAUGGGUAACUAAAGCAGCUGAAAGUGAUACCUUGGAUCAGGCAGGGCCACUGUCCUGGCUCCCUCUUCCCCACUAGCGCCUUUCUUCCACGUAUAUAGUCAAGACAAGAUUUAAGUGGUGUUUUUCCAUAACGCCUCCCACAAAUGCUCCAGCCUGAAACUGAUUUCUCUUUUCUGAUCUUUAUAGUCCUGUAGUUAGUCAUUCUUAAAGUUCUGUGCAUAUGCUGCAUUCUAUUAUUCAGCCAUGCAGGGCUAUGUCCUGUCAUUAAGAACAGAGGAACAAGCCAGAUCUCUGUAGUCCCAUAACUAAUAUCAUGCCUGGAAUAUAGUGAGUGCUCUUCAAACAUUUCAUAGGUCCUUUUAGAGGUCCUGGGGCAUAGUCAACUUUGGAAGCAUUCAACCAUAAUGAAUUUUAAAUAAAAAUAUAUGAAAAAAAAUUUUUUUAAGCCCCCAAUCUCUGAGCCCAGGAAUUCAAGACCA
rnacentral:lncRNA from 1 species